rnacentral:rRNA from 1 species
GAUGAACGCUGGCGGCGUGCCUAAUACAUGCAAGUCGAGCGAACAGAUAAGGAGCUUGCUCCUUUGACGUUAGCGGCGGACGGGUGAGUAACACGUGGGUAACCUACCUAUAAGACUGGAAUAACUCCGGGAAACCGGGGCUAAUGCCGGAUAACAUUUAGAACCGCAUGGUUCUAAAGUGAAAGAUGGUUUUGCUAUCACUUAUAGAUGGACCCGCGCCGUAUUAGCUAGUUGGUAAGGUAACGGCUUACCAAGGCAACGAUGCGUAGCCGACCUGAGAGGGUGAUCGGCCACACUGGAACUGAGACACGGUCCAGACUCCUACGGGAGGCAGCAGUAGGGAAUCUUCCGCAAUGGGCGAAAGCCUGACGGAGCAACGCCGCGUGAGUGAUGAAGGUCUUCGGAUCGUAAAACUCUGUUAUUAGGGAAGAACAAAUGUGUAAGUAACUGUGCGCGUCUUGACGGUACCUAAUCAGAAAGCCACGGCUAACUACGUG